rnacentral:rRNA from 1 species
AUACGUAGGUGGCAAGCGUUGUCCGGAAUUACUGGGUGUAAAGGGCGUGUAGGCGGAGCGGCAAGUCAGAAGUGAAAUCUCCGGGCUUAACCCGGAAACUGCUUUUGAAACUGUCGCCCUUGAGUAUCGGAGAGGCAGGCGGAAUUCCUAGUGUAGCGGUGAAAUGCGUAGAUAUUAGGAGGAACACCAGGGGCUAAGGUGACAUGCUGUACGACAACUGAAGCUGAGACGCGAAAGCGUAGGGAGCAAACAGGAUUAGAUACCCUGGUAGUCCACACUGUAAACGAUGAUUGCUAGGUGUUGGGGGUCUGACCCCUUCCGUGCCGGAGUUAACGCAAUAAGCAAUCCACCUGGGGCGUUCGGCCGCAAGGUUGAAACUCAAAUGAAUUGACGGGG